UGUGUGUGUGCAUCUGUGUGUAUGCACCUGUGUGUGCAUCUGUGUGUUCACCUGUGUGUACACCUGUGUGUGCACCUGUGUGUGCAUCUGUGUGUUCACCUGUGUGUACACCUGUGUGUACACCUGUGUGUAUACACCUGUGUGUGUGUACCUGUGUGUGCAUCUGUGUGUGGACCUGUGUAUGUGCACCUGUGUGUGUACACCUGUGUGUGAACCUGUGUGUGUGUACCUGUAUGUGCACUUGUCAGUGUGCAUCUGUGUGUGUACCUGUAUGUGCACCUGUCAGUGUGCAUCUGUGUGUGUGUGCACUUGUGUAUGUGUACCCAUGCACGUACACAGAAUAAACUAGAUAUUGCAUUGCCUUACUUCAUCUGAUAAC
rnacentral:lncRNA from 1 species